rnacentral:lncRNA from 1 species
UUAAAUCCUUGUAAAUGCUUUUAAAACACUUGUAAAUCCUUUUAAAAAUUUUUGUAAAUUUUUAAAUGAUUGAAUCACUUUCCAAUGAUUGAAUGUAUUAAAUAUAUUCUAUUAUAUUUACAUUUAAAACAAAAUUAUAAAAAUCAACUUUCCAUGAAUAUUUAUGUUUUACAAAUGUACGGAAGUAUAUAAUAACGAAUAUACUGAUAUUCAGAUUAUUGUCUUGAUCAUAACUAUGUAAUUAAAAAAAAUGAC